ACGAGGAGCGGCGGAGAGGCCAGGUACCUCUUCAGUUCCUCGAAGGCUUGCCGACACUCGUCCGGCCAGAAAAACUGCUUGGCUUGUCGCAAGGUUUUGAAGAACGGGAGGCAUCUCUCAGCCGACCAAGAAAUGAAUCGGCUGAGUGCGAUGAUCCUUCCGUUGAGUUGCUGCACCUCCUUCUUGGUGUCCGGGUGCCGCAUGUCGAU
rnacentral:lncRNA from 1 species